GAAUAUAAAAAAUUAUUUUUAUUAUUUAUUUAUAUAGAAUUUUAACAAAAGAAAUUUUAGUUUUAUUAAAUUAUUUGAAAAAAUUUUUUUUAUUAUAGUAAAAUAGUAUUGUGAAAGAAAUUUUUAUAAAUAUUUAAAAGAAAAAUUAAAGAUUUGUACCUUGUGUAUCAGGGUUAAUUAAAUAAAAUUUAUUUAUUUAAAUUUCUCGAAUUUAAAAGAGUUAAUUAUUUAUUAAUUUUAUUGUAAAAUAAAUAUUUAUAAUAAAUAAUUAGAAAUGAAAUGUUAUUCGUUUUUGAAUAUAUCUAGUUUUUAAAGAAAUAAAUUUAAUUUAGUUAUUAUUAUAUAAAAUUUUAUUUUAAUAAUUUUUUAUUAAUAAUAAAUAAUUUUUUUAGGGAUAAGCUUAAAAAAAAAAUAUUAUAAUUUAAUUAAAAAUAUAUAAGUUAUAAAAUUAGAAUUUUUUAUAAAUAAUAAAUUGUUAUAAAUAAUUAUAUUUGGAAUUAUAUUUUUAUUAAAUUUAAAUUAUUUAUUUAAAUAAUUUUUUUAAUUUUAAAAGAAAUGAAAUAAUGAUUAAAUUAGUAUAAAUGAAUGUAUAAAUAAUUAUAUAAUUUAGGUUAUUUUAAGGAAUUCGGCAAAAUUAUUUUUCACCUGUUUAAUAAAAACAUGUCCUUUUGAAUAUAAUUUAAGGUCUAAUCUGCCCACUGAAAAAUUGAAUGGCCGCGGUAUUUUGACCGUGCAAAGGUAGCAUAAUAAUUAGUUUUUUAAUUGAAAGCUGGUAUGAAUGAUUGGAUGAGAAAAUAACUGUCUUAAAAUAAUUUUUUUAGAAUUUUAUAUUUAAGUAAAAAAGCUUAAAUAAAAUUAAAAGACGAGAAGACCCUAUAGAGUUUAAUAAUUAUUUACUAUCUUAUUUAUGGUUUA
rnacentral:rRNA from 1 species